rnacentral:rRNA from 1 species
GACGAACGCUGGCGGCGUGCUUAACACAUGCAAGUCGAACGGAAAGGCCCUGCUUUUGUGGGUUGCUCGAGUGGCGAACGGGUGAGUAACACGAGAGUAACCUACCCUUCACUUUGGUAUAGCAUAAGGGAACUGGAGCUAAUACAAGAUAGGAUAUCCUGCUUCUUGGUCGUGGUUGGUCAGUGUCGGCGGUUGUGUCUGGACUCGCGGCUGUUCAGGUUUUUGGUGGGGUAGUGGCUUACCAAGGCUUUGACGGGUAGGCGGCCUGAGAGGGUGAGAGGCAACAUCGGGACUGAGAUACGGCCCAGACGCGUACGGGAGUGAACAGUGGGGAAUAGUGUACAAUGGGCGGAAGGCUGAUGCAGCAACGCCGCGUGCGGUAUGACGGUCUUCGGGUAGUAAACCGCGUCUGCCUGUGAUGUAGCGGGAUUGACGGUAACGGGUAAAGAAGCACCGGCUAACUACGUG